UACGUAGGGCGCAAGCGUUGUCCGGAAUUAUUGGGCGUAAAGAGCUCGUAGGCGGUCUGUCGCGUCUGUUGUGAAAACUCGAGGCUCAACCUCGGGCUUGCAGUGGAUACGGGCAGACUAGAGUGCGGUAGGGGAGACUGGAAUUCCUGGUGUAGCGGUGGAAUGCGCAGAUAUCAGGAGGAACACCGGUGGCGAAGGCGGAUCUCUGGGCCAUUACUGACGCUGAGGAGCGAAAGCGUGGGGAGCGAACAGG
rnacentral:rRNA from 1 species